rnacentral:rRNA from 1 species
UACGGAGGGGGCUAGCGUUGUUCGGAAUUACUGGGCGUAAAGCGCACGUAGGCGGCUUUGUAAGUUAGAGGUGAAAGCCCGGGGCUCAACUCCGGAAUUGCCUUUAAGACUGCAUCGCUAGAAUUGUGGAGAGGUAAGUGGAAUUCCGAGUGUAGAGGUGAAAUUCGUAGAUAUUCGGAAGAACACCAGUGGCGAAGGCGACUUACUGGACACAUAUUGACGCUGAGGCGCGAAAGCCAGGGGAGCGAACGGGG